rnacentral:rRNA from 1 species
AUACGGAGGGUGCAAGCGUUAUUCGGAAUCACUGGGCGUAAAGGGCGCGUAGGCGGGUUGGCAAGUCAGAUGUGAAAUCCUACAGCUUAACUGUAGAACUGCAUUUGAAACUGCUAACCUAGAGUAUGGGAGGGGGAGAUGGAAUUAGUGGUGUAGGGGGAAAAUCCGUAGAUAUCACUAGGAAUACCGAAAGCGAAGGCGAUCUCCUGGAACAUAACUGACGCUAAGGCGUGAAAGCGUGGGGAGCAAACAGGAUUAGAAACCCUAGUAGUCC